UGAAAUCUGGGAUCUUCUCCCCUAUCUACAUAGACCUCCGUCUCAUCGUCUCUUACCCUUCCCUCCUCCGCCAAAUCUCCCACUCCCUCCUCUCCUCUCUCCCUCCCCAAACACCCUUUAACCUCAUAUGUGGUGUCCCUUACACUGCCCUCCCUAUAGCCACCUCCAUCUCUCUCGACACCUCCAUCCCCAUGCUCAUGCGCCGCAAAGAAGUGAAAGACUACGGAACUGCCAAGUCCAUCGAAGGUGUUUACGAAAAGGGUCAAGUUUGUUUGGUGGUGGAAGACCUCGUAACGUCCGGUGCAUCGGUUCUCGAAACGGUGGCACCGCUUCGGUCUUUGGGUAUCAACGUAACGGAUGCCAUCGUGGUUAUAGAUAGGGAGCAAGGCGGGAGGGAAACGUUGGAGGAGAAUGGGAUUAAACUUCAUGCACUUUUU
rnacentral:lncRNA from 1 species